rnacentral:lncRNA from 1 species
CUCAAGUAAUGCAUAAAACAUUAUAUCACAUCAUAAUCAACAACAACACAUCUUAAACAGCUUCACAUAUUAUAAUUAACCUCUUCAUUAAGUCUUAAUGCUACCCAAAGGUUUAAUCCUCAACAACUCGUGCAACAAAGGUCGCAAAACUAACAAGUCACUCUGUUUUCUGGGUCACUCGCGAGGCGAGAGCCUCUGCUCGCCGUGGCGAGUUCAGGUC